CAGCAGCCGCGGUAAUACGUAGGUGGCAAGCGUUGUCCGGAUUUAUUGGGCGUAAAGCGAGCGCAGGCGGUUUCUUAAGUCUGAUGUGAAAGCCCCCGGCUCAACCGGGGAGGGUCAUUGGAAACUGGGAGACUUGAGUGCAGAAGAGGAGAGUGGAAUUCCAUGUGUAGCGGUGAAAUGCGUAGAUAUAUGGAGGAACACCAGUGGCGAAGGCGGCUCUCUGGUCUGUAACUGACGCUGAGGCUCGAAAGCGUGGGGAGCAAACAGGAUUAGAUACCCUGGUAGUCCACGCCGUAAACGAUGAGUGCUAAGUGUUGGAGGGUUUCCGCCCUUCAGUGCUGCAGCAAACGCAUUAAGCACUCCGCCUGGGGAGUACGACCGCAAGGUG
rnacentral:rRNA from 1 species